AACGAACGCUGGCGGCAUGCCUAACACAUGCAAGUCGAACGAGACCUUCGGGUCUAGUGGCGCACGGGUGCGUAACGCGUGGGAACCUGCCCUUAGGUUCGGAAUAACUCCCCGAAAGGGGUGCUAAUACCGGAUAAUGUCUUCGGACCAAAGAUUUAUCGCCUUUGGAUGGGCCCGCGUUGGAUUAGCUAGUUGGUAGGGUAAAAGCCUACCAAGGCGACGAUCCAUAGCUGGUCUGAGAGGAUGAUCAGCCACACUGGGACUGAGACACGGCCCAGACUCCUACGGGAGGCAGCAGUGGGGAAUAUUGAACAAUGGGCGAAAGCCUGAUCCAGCAAUGCCGCGUGAGUGAUGAAGGCCUUAGGGUUGUAAAGCUCUUUUACCCGGGAUGAUAUGACAGUACCGGGAGAAUAAGCUCCGGCUAACUCCGUG
rnacentral:rRNA from 1 species